rnacentral:rRNA from 1 species
UACGUAGGGUGCGAGCGUUGUCCGGAAUUAUUGGGCGUAAAGAGCUUGUAGGCGGUCUGUCGCGUCUGCUGUGAAAAUCCGAGGCUCAACCUCGGACUUGCGGUGGGUACGGGCAGACUAGAGUGUGGUAGGGGAGACUGGAAUUCCUGGUGUAGCGGUGAAAUGCGCAGAUAUCAGGAGGAACACCGAUGGCGAAGGCAGGUCUCUGGGCCACUACUGACGCUGAGAAGCGAAAGCAUGGGGAGCGAACAGG